AGUACAUAAAAGUCAUUUCUUAACUACUAUAAUCCACACAUACAUUUCUGUUCUUAUCUAUUUCUAUAAUGUUUGAAAACUCUGCAUAAACUACACAGUUAAUUGUUUCAGUCAAUGCGUUCUCGAAUCUUACUUCCAUUCUCACACUACCAUGACGAAUGAGAUUCCAGUGAAUAUUAGAGUUAGCUGAUAAGUCGGGGGUUAAAUCAAAGGCUAGUAAACAGUAUCCAUCUGAGUAUUGCUCCCUCGAUAUCCCAUUACCUUCGUUAAGAAAAUGUAUACCGGUACCUGAGUACCGGUCUUAAGCUCUUAAUUUAUUUGCUAUUUCAUUGAGUUUUAAUUUGUUUUUAACGACAACAUUAGGAUGAUAAUGAAUUUAUAAUUGUUUAAUAAAUAUUUGAGGUAACAAUCGAUUAACAUUAAUUUAUUAAAUACAGAUAUUGUAAAGAAAAAUAUAGUAUUGUGGUAUGAAUCACAGGACAACGUGUAGAAAGUGUGUAGUGUUCUAAUAUCAAAAAUGGAGCCUUCAUACAACCUGAAAGAUGUGGAAAAAUGUUUCAGACCCUAUAAUUAUUAUGUUUUAUCUGAUGAAGAAGAGGUUUCGAACAUACACGUAAAUAAAAAUAAGGGGACCAGUCGUUUAGAUGACUUUUUUAUUCAAGAACCAGACCGAAAGAAGAAAAAAGCUAGACUUUCUUCAACUGUUGGCCGUGCAGGAAAGGAGGGGAACAUUCAAUAUAUAUCAACAGACAAAGAUGAUGGAAUGGACGCUGACAUACUUGUGAAAAUCGACUUGUAUAGUUUAAAAAAGUUAAAAGAAAUCCCGGUCUCACAACAUUGGAAAAAUGCAGAUAUUCGUGUUAAAUAUUACAUGAAAAACGAUUCCAACAUUGAUCUUCAGAUAAAAGACGUAGUAUAUAACAUAACAAAGGAAAUAUCCGAGGAAGAUAAUGUAAAACAUUAUAGUUUUAAAAAUUAGGUUCCUUUAGUAUCUUUACGUGAUGACCUUAUUAGUAAUUAAUUAACUUACUAUCAAAUUCUAAUACCAUACGUUAUAUAAUUAAGUAAUGUUUCAGUUGUCCUCUAGUAUAAAUAUUAUGUUGCAUUGUACAAAGUCAAUCAUUGUGAAUUGUGUUGAAGACCUUUGCGCAUUAAGGUAAAAAGUGUGUUACGAAAUAAAUAGUUGUGAAACGAAUAUAUAUAUUUACAAUGUCUCAAGAAUGUGUUAGUGUCUUUUUUGAAGAAAUGGAUCAUGAAUUUGAAAACAUUGAUACAAUUGAACUUUUUAAUGUUUGUGAUGAAAUAGAAAGAGGUGAUUUAAAUAACUCAUUUUAUGAUCAAAGAAUGAUGGAGCUAUGUGAGGAAUUCGAAAGAAAACUGGUUGAUCAAAUGGGUUGCGGAACCAAAAGGAAAGCAGAUGUUGAUAUUAACUCUGUUGAUAUCAAAAGAAUAAAAUCUGGACCUACCAUGGAUUUUUCACGGUCUUCACAAGAGCCAUCAACAUCGAAUGAAGGUAAUAAUUCUAACACGAAAUUUUGUUGUAUUUGUAAUACAAAUUUUUCCAAAAAAUAUUUCGCUAGUCAUCUAAGGAGCAAUGCACACAAAAAUAAUGUAGAUAAAAUACAACAUUCGAUAAAACCCAAUGUUAAGAUAAUUGAGACUGCGUUCGGUAAUAGAAUAAUAAC